rnacentral:rRNA from 1 species
AGAGUUUGAUCCUGGCUCAGGAUGAACGCUAGCGGGAGGCCUAAUACAUGCAAGUCGAACGGUAACAGGGUAGCAAUAUCGCUGACGAGUGGCGCACGGGUGAGUAACGCGUACACAACCUGCCUUAUACUGGGGCAUAGCCUUGGGAAACUAAGAUUAAUUCCCCAUAACAUUGCGAAAUGGCAUCAUUUUGCAAUUAA